GGUGAGAUGACUGAAUUAGGUGAUAAAUUGUAAGUUUAUUUAUGGAUUAAACUCCUCUCAUCA
rnacentral:tRNA from 1 species